rnacentral:lncRNA from 1 species
AACAAAUGAACACAAAUACCUCUGAGCAUUCCCAGCCAAAUGAAUACCUCAUAGAUAACUAGAAAAACGUUCAAAAUAUACAUUCAAACAAUCAAUGCAUUCAACCAACACAUCACUCCUAAAUAUUUGCCUAAACCCGGUAGAAUCUGCAUCCGCUUUCAAAAUUGAUAUAUUAUUAUUCCGAUUAAACCCGGUAGAAUUCACAUCGGAAACACCUCGAUUUGAACCUCGACAACGACCAACACCAACUCGGAAUAGCCCUCUUCUAUUUUAUUUUCAUCGGCUCGAAUUGUAAAAGAAACGCACAACGAAGAUAAGUUCGUACCAAAUUCGCAGACUCGUUACUGCUUCGAUCGUUUUCUGGCAGGGUUUACCUCAAACAUCAAGAAAAACGAAGAGAUUUAGGGGGUUUCGCGACUGGAUCUGUUAAGUCGACCACCUGGACAACAAUUCCGGCGAAAUUUUCACCACCGACCCUGUUCCUGACCGUUUUCAAACUAUUCUUGCCCGUUUCUCUCCUUCAACUAUUCGAAUCGACUUUGUUCGCGUGAAUCUCGUUCAUCAGCGUACUCCCCUUUCCCGUUGGUGGUCAUUUAUGCGUGUCUCUGUUGGGAAUCGAAAAAGGAAAAAGAAAAGAUGAAGUUAUGGUGGCCUCUUCUUUGUUACUGUGUGUGCCUGUAUCAAUGGAGAUGUUUGGUAUGAUAGGAAAAUGUUUUUCAAUUUUUU